CCAAAAUAAAAUAUUACCAUUAUUUCACAUGUCAAAGCCAAAAAGCAUUAAUAACAUUUUUUUUAAAAAACCAACACCCACACUAAUACUGAAAAACACAUGGUUUUUGUCUGGCAUAUCACACACUGGUGUUUUGAGGGUGAAACUCCUUUCCAUUAAUCACCUAAAACUGAUUCCUGGCAUUUAUGUCAGUGUGAGUAUUGUUAAAUUCUUCUGUGUUGACCUCAUUGCAGACUGCAUUUCCACAAAAAGGAAGAAGUCAGAUUAGGAAAGUGGGAAAAUACAUUGAAGAAAGCCUCAGUAUAUAAGGGAGAUUAUCAGAAAUCAGUUUACUCUGAUGGCUGGGUCUGACAUAACCACAAGUAAGGAGCUGGUUAACUGGAAUUCUCUGGAUUUACAGCUGCCAUGGGGGUUGUCCAGAUUAGACUUUCCUUGCUGCAGUAUUGACACAGCCUGUGGACAUAGAAGGGAACUGAUUAUCAGCUGCCAAGAGCUUUGUUCUGCUUCCUGAACACCAGGACUACAAGGCCAAAUCUGAAAAAUCUGACCCAGGCUAUGUAUCCUGUCUUUUUAAAAAGGGCCCAGAGGAAAAUGAGUCAGAUAAAGUGAGGAGUGAGCCAAGGGGCUAGAGAGCUCAGCUGGAUCUUUGUACUUCAGUAUCUAUAAUCAAAAUAUAUAUACUAUGUUAAUGUUCAGCUACCAUUACUAUUGAUGCUACACCAGUAUCAGUAGCAUUGGGAUUGGCACUGGUGGUGUUACACAGUGGUCUAAUGGGGCUUGUGGGACAGGAGAGAAGAGGGGCUGGAGCCAGGGUUAGUCAUGGAGAGAGAGAAAAUAGAAAAAUCCUAGAGAGAGACAAGGUACUAAGCAAUUUCUACAUGUUCAGCUGGAGGCAGAAAACACCAUGUUUAGUUUAAAAAUUAAAAUCUUUUUGAAGUCUUGGACAGAACUGUUAGCAAAAUGACACACAGUGGUGGUGAAGUUCACAACUACAGAAAGCUACUUACGCUGGGGGACUGUCUCCACAGUACUUCCCAAUUCUUUUAGCAUCAUUGAUUUCCCCACCAUUGAACACUGCAACAUAGUCAUAUCUGCAGUAGUUGUCUCUCUCCACAUCAAACUUCUCGAACUUUAACUCUAUUAGCUAAAAGGAAAAUGGAAAGAACUUAUUAACAUGCAGGUAAUAGAUACAAUAUGCAGAAUUUAUUAAUAUUGCUUGUAGUAAGUGACAUCUUCAUAUGAAGUACUAUUUAAUUUUUCUUUUGAUAAAGGAAAAUUCCUUAAUCCACUUAAUUGUAAAGUAUUUUAACCCAUAUGACCUCUCCAGCUAAUAGUUACGAAUAUAACUCUAAUAUUCUGUAAAAUAUUUUCUUCUUAAAUGUAGGCGAGUAACUUCUGAAAAAUUAUUUUUAUGAGUGAAUGUUAGUAGGUGUUGGGUGUUACAAUGCUCUCAAAAUAACUACAGCAAGUAUAAGCAACAGAAAAUGAGCUUUUAAUGUCAUUGCACCAUUCAAGAUACUCUAAAGAAAAAGCAAAGUUGAUACAAGGUGUUUCACUGACUUCGUUAACAGCAGGGGCAAAAUCACUGUUGUUGCCAAUGCUGUGUAUACUUGAUGCAGAAUUAAAAACAUUAGAAAUUAAAGUGUUGAUAAAAAAAAAUCAGCAAAUAGUAAGACUAAACCCAAGAGAAAGUACUUAAAAGAACAGUGUUUCCAUGUCAGGUUUCCAUAGGUGUUGAAACUUUACAAGUCAUAAAUGUGAACUAGUAUCAUUCUGGUAUUUCUAGUACUUACGCUAUUAUCUGCAACAACUUUAUUUAUGGAAUUUUCUACUUAAGGAAAAAAAAACCAACAAUGUACAAGAAAACAGAAAUGGAAUCCAGUUCUCUGAAAUGAAGUCUUACAGAAUGACUCUCUCAGUCAUGUGUGGCAAGGAAGGGAAACAACCUAACUGCUGCAUGGAAACAGAUGACAUUUGAAAUAUUGUUCCAUGAGAAACACGGGGGAACAAGCAAAGGCCAGCAUGACUCAGUAUUGUUUACUUUGAGCCACAUCUGAGCCUGAUGCAGUAAGAAGAUGGGAUACCUCAGAGGAAGAACUGGAAGGAAUUCAGCUCUUAAAAGAAAAGAAAAAAAAAAAAGAGGGAGGAGUCAAAGGAAGAAUGAUGUGAUGCUUCCUCCGCAGGGCAUGUGCACAUGAUUCCAAAUGCAAUUUUAAUCUACUCUUCAGAUUGCAAGGUGGGCCAUGCUGAUUGCUGUCACCUCAGCCCCUCGACAGCAAGGAAGCAAGUUUCUGGGCAUAGACCAUGUUUCACAUCCUCUUCUGGAUGAGCACAACCCACCCCGUACUGAGCCCUGCUCCUAGUGCUGAGCCCUGGGGCCCAGCUGUGCUCAGGUGAGCUCAGGUGCUGGUGCCGGCUCCGGACACGCGAGGAGCCCUGGAAAACCUGCGUGGACCACUGCUACUGCUGAGGACACGAGGGUAAGCAAACGCCCUGCCGAGCUUUAGACACCGGGAUGCCUCACCUUAUUACACCGUUAUGUUAGAGAGGUUACAGAUUACCCGGCACCGGGAUACUCUCGCAGCGCCCCGGGCUCCGUGGGAAAUGCUCCUGCCUUGAUGCAGUCACGGGCACUGAAACAUCCGCGCACCCCACGGAGGUACGGUGGGAACGCGACGGCGGGGGACGAAGGGAGG